rnacentral:rRNA from 1 species
AGCGAACGCUGGCGGCGUACUUAACACAUGCAAGUCGAACGGGGAUUUUUCGGUGUAGCAAUACAUUGGGCGGUCCUAGUGGCCCACGGGUGAGUAACACGUGGGUAACCUGUCCUUGAGUUCGGGAUACCCUUUCGAAAGGAAGGCUAAUACCGGAUACGUUCCUCGGGUUGCGAAAUCUGGGGAGGAAAGGUGGCGAAAGCUACCGUUCUUGGAGGGGCUCGCGGCCUAUCAGCUAGUUGGUGAGGUAACGGCUCACCAAGGCUAUGACGGGUAGCUGGUCUGAGAGGACGACCAGCCACACGGGAACUGAGACACGGUCCCGACUCCUACGGGAGGCAGCAGUGGGGAAUUUUCCGCAAUGGGCGAAAGCCUGACGGAGUGACGCCGCGUGGGGGACGAAGGCCUUCGGGUUGUAAACCCCUGUCAGAGGGAAAGAAGGGUCGCCUGGCUAAUAUCCAGGUGAUCUGACGGUACCUUCAGAGGAAGCCCCGGCCAACUCUGUGCCAGCAGCCGCGGUAAGACAGAGGGGGCAAGCGUUGCUCGGAAUCACUGGGCGUAAAGGGCGCGUAGGCGGGAUGGCAAGUCAGUCGUGAAAUCUCUCGGCUCAACCGAGAAACGUCGGCUGAUACUGCCGUUCUUGAGGGAUGCAGAGGAGACUGGAAUUCCCGGUGUAGCGGUGAAAUGUGUAGAGAUCGGGAGGAACACCGGUGGCGAAGGCGGGUCUCUGGGCAUUUCCUGACGCUGAGGCGCGAAAGCGUGGGGAGCAAACGGGAUUAGAUACCCCGGUAGUCCACGCUGUAAACGAUGACGACUAGGUGUGGGGUGGUUCAGUCCAUUCCGUGCCGCAGCUAACGCAUUAAGUCGUCCGCCUGGGGAGUACGGCCGCAAGGUUG